rnacentral:rRNA from 1 species
CUACGGGGUGCUGCAGUGGGGAAUUUUGGACAAUGGGGGCAACCCUGAUCCAGCCAUUCCGCGUGAGUGAAGAAGGCCUUCGGGUUGUAAAGCUCUUUCAGCUGGAACGAAACGGUACACUCUAACAUAGCGUGCUAAUGACGGUACCAGCAGAAGAAGCACCGGCUAACUACGUGCCAGCAGCCGCGGUAAUACGUAGGGUGCGAGCGUUAAUCGGAAUUACUGGGCGUAAAGCGUGCGCAGGCGGAUUGUUAAGCAAGAUGUGAAAUCCCCGGGCUUAACCUGGGAAUGGCAUUUUGAACUGGCAGUCUAGAGUGCGUCAGAGGGGGGUGGAAUUCCACGUGUAGCAGUGAAAUGCGUAGAGAUGUGGAGGAACACCGAUGGCGAAGGCAGCCCCCUGGGAUGACACUGACGCUCAUGUACGAAAGCGUGGGUAGCAAACAGGAUUAGAUACCCUGGUAGUC